rnacentral:rRNA from 1 species
UACGAAGGGGGCUAGCGUUGUUCGGAAUCACUGGGCGUAAAGGGCGCGUAGGCGGUCGUGACAAGUCACUUGUGAAAUCUCCGGGCUUAACUCGGAACGGUCAAGUGAUACUGUCGGACUAGAGUACAGAAGGGGCAACUGGAAUUCUCGGUGUAGCGGUGAAAUGCGUAGAUAUCAGGAGGAACACCGAUGGCGAAGGCAGGUCUCUGGGCAUUAACUGACGCUGGAGGAGCGAAAAGCAUGGGGAGCGAACAGG